CGAGCACGCAGGCGGUCUGUCAAGUCGGAUGUGAAAUCCCCGGGCUCAACCUGGGAACUGCAUUCGAAACUGGCAGGCUAGAGUCUUGUAGAGGGGGGUAGAAUUCCAGGUGUAGCGGUGAAAUGCGUAGAGAUCUGGAGGAAUACCGGUGGCGAAGGCGGCCCCCUGGACAAAGACUGACGCUCAGGUGCGAAAGCGUGGGGAGCAAACAGGAUUAGAUACCCUGGUAGUCCACGCCGUAAACGAUGUCGACUUGGAGGUUGUGCCCUUGAGGCGUGGCUUCCGGAGCUAACGCGUUAAGUCGACCGCCUGGGGAGUACGGCCGCAAGGUUAAAACUCAAAUGAAUUGACGGGGGCCCGCACAAGCGGUGGAGCAUGUGGUUUAAUUCGAUGCAACGCGAAGAACCUUACCUACUCUUGACAUCCAGAGAACUUUGCAGAGAUGGUUUGGUGCCUUC
rnacentral:rRNA from 1 species